CCAAAACCGGAAGAUUACAAAGCCUAACAUGGCACUGUUUGAGCAGUUUUUCCUGAAUAAAAGCUUACUUGGCCGGAGUUCGAAGAGUCUGUGGUUGAAGGGCACAAAAACAGACAAGGGCAGAUCCGACUACACAAAUCAGAACAGUCUGUAUAUACAUAUCCUGCUCCUGAUUUUAUGUGCAAAGUUUAACAAUGGGAUUCUGUGGUAUAAAUCUUGUAUAAAUUGCAGCUGCUGCUAUUGUUUAUGGCCUAUAAUACCUGAAAUAAAAUGAAAUCCCUUUCUUGAUAACGGGAGAAUCGAUUAACCGAAAGCUCUCGUGGAAGCAAAGAAGAAUUAGCUCUAGUUAAAGAGCCAUUUAUCUACUUCCUAUAUUAGAGAAUUCAUCAGGGGUGGGAGAAUUCAAGAAGAGUAUCAGGAUAAGUUCUCAUGAUUCAUGUUAUGUAUCUGUUUGUUUAUUGAAGUUUCUUUAUUUCAAAAAGUUAAUGUUUUCGUGAUGAAUAUGUGUUUUCAAAAUGGAAACUCUUUAAAAAGGCUUUGAGAUAUAUUUUGGAGAACUUGGAAAAUAUAUAGUUGGUGUCUAUCUAACUCCUGCUCUCAAUCACUUCGUUCCUUCCACUCGUCAACUUGUCCAAACGGCUUGAGGCUCCUCGUACUUAUACGGGUUGAAAGAACAAAGAAGAUUCAUCCAUGCUAAAAGAAUUGGUUGACUGUUGUCCUAUAAUGUGGUGCUUGACAAUCGAUUGUUAAAGAAUUUGACUCCCUUAUUCAUCAUCCUUGAUAAAUUACUUUUCUUCCAUCGAUAACCAGCUUUCAGCUAACCUAGCCAUUCGUCCAUUCGUUGGGAGAUCCCUUGCUCUCAAGUUCGAGUGUUUGCCCAUCGUUUAGGCCCAUGGAUGAGACUUCUGCUGAUUGCAAUUACCUCUAGGGCUCUUC
rnacentral:lncRNA from 1 species